CCUGACGCUGGGAGGAGAUGCUGCCACCUAGGUUACUUGUAGGACCCUAUACGGCAACCUCCUUUGCCAGGAACUAUUUAUAAACAUCCUGCAGGAAAAUGCAGUGAAGUAGAAGAGACAGGGAUAUCCCAGAAGGUUAUGCAAAACAUCAAGAGAAGAUGAGAGGAGUCUAUAUGUCAGAAUACACAUUUCCCACCUUGCCCAACAGUAGAAAAACAUAAGAAGAGAAAAACAUUAAAAAAUGACAAGGAAGUUAAUGGAAGCAAUGUGAUGGUGUUUGGAGGUGGAGCCUUCAGAAGGUAAUUAAUGCCCUUGUAAGAAGAGGCCAGAGAGCUUGCGCACCUUCUUCCUGCCAUGUGAGGAGCCAAGAAGCCGGCUGUCUGCAACCUGCAAGAGGACCCUCACUAGAAGCUAGCCAUACUGGCAUCCUCAUCUUGGCUUUCCAACUUCCAGAACUGUGAGAAGUAUAUGUUUGUGGUUUAGUCAAUGGUCUAUGGUAAUUUUUUUAUAGCAGUCCCAGCCAAGACAGUGCCUCAUUUACUACAUACCAUUUAUAUUAUUAUAUAGGCUCCUUUCAGAAACCCAUGUUCAAAUAAGAGAUAAGAUACUGAAACACAUAACACCUUCACUAGUUUUUAGUAUACAAAUAUUGAGAAAUA
rnacentral:lncRNA from 1 species